rnacentral:lncRNA from 1 species
AGAAGCAACACGAGCUAAUGUGUCUCUUGACUCCGAGCUAAUAGGACUAUUAAAAAUACGUGCACGUGCCCUGUCAUACUCCUCUUUUCUCUCUUCCACAGUUCUUACUGGGCUACGGUUUGGACCAGAUUCACCAUCAUUUGGCGAGGUUUUACUAGGCCUUGGUCGUAUUACAAUUUUCAUCUUCUCGUAUUUGUCAUUGUCAACGGUUUGGACCAGAUUCACCAUAAUUUGACAAGGUUUUACUAGGCCUUGGUCGUAUUACAAUUUUCAUCUUCUCAUAUUUGUCAUUGUCAGAUUGUUUAGGUGGGAUGUCUGACAAACGCACAGCAGGGUAUUUGCUUUCAGGCUUUCGUGUCACCAGAAUUUUGGCUCCCUGACCAUCCACC